rnacentral:ncRNA from 1 species
AGAACUAAGAAAUCUGACGAGUCGAAUGAUGCAGUAACGUGCAGAAAGGCUCGGUCUAAUACUCCGAAUUGCAUCGCCACGGGCAGUCGAGGUGGUGUAAUAAGCUCGGUGAAGGCAGUCGAAUAUCACCCUCAUUAUAGGAAACUAAAGCAUAGCUUUACGUGAUAGAUAGACUGGGGCUCUAUAAA